CCUACGGGUGGCAGCAGUGAGGAAUAUUGGUCAAUGGACGCAAGUCUGAACCAGCCAUGCCGCGUGCAGGAAGACGGCUCUAUGAGUUGUAAACUGCUUUUGUACGAGGGUAAACGCAGAUACGCGUACCUUUUUGAAAGUAUUGUACGAAUAAGGAUCGGCUAACUCCGUGCCAGCAGCCGCGGUAAUACGGAGGAUCCAAGCGUUAUCCGGAUUUAUUGGGUUUAAAGGGUGCGUAGGCGGUCGGAUAAGUUAGAGGUGAAAGCCCGAGGCUCAACUUCAAAAUUGCAUCUGAUACUGGUCGGCUAGAGAGUAGUUGCGGUAGGCGGAAUGUAUGGUGUAGCGGUGAAAUGCUUAGAGAUCAUACAGAACACCGAUUGCGAAGGCAGCUUACUAAGCUACUUCUGACAUUGAGGCACGAAAGCGUGGGGAGCAAACAGGAUUAGAUACCCCGGUAGUC
rnacentral:rRNA from 1 species